GCCUUCUCCCCUUACCAGUGACAUGUCUGACCAGAUAUGGCACUGCCUGCAUGCAGAGUUCAGAGCUGAAGGGCUGAACUUCUCUUUCACUCCCAGUAUCUUUGAACACCCCCUUGCAUUUAUUGUACUUGCUCUUUUAACAAGGUGCUAGCUGAUGCUGCACUGGGUGUAUUUUCCUGUAGUCAUUCUCUACUGUGAGCACCUGAGAUAGGAGCUGCAGGAGUAAAAUUGCACCUGAAUUUAAGAGGGCUGAGGAAGAAAAGGCAACUCAUCAUCUCUGCAGGAGCUGGCAGCACCAUUUAACCAGCUUAACACCACACUUCCGAGUUGCUCCAGGGGGGUUACUAUGCUUUCAUAGCAAAACUUGCCCGACCUCAUGUGCUAACAGCAGUGAUACCAGGUCUGCAUAGGAAACACACCCUCACACUUCCACUGUGCACCUCGCAGCUUUUGGGGACAUUAGCGUUUCCCCAGCUCAGCUGGGAGCUGGGUCUUGCUCCUGGAUCAGAGACAACUCAUUCUCGUUAUUAAAUGCGCGGAACACUUCCUGGAUAUUCCUGUACACGGUUCCUAGCAUAUGUAUUAAAUCUGUACUCCUACCUCUGCUUCCCCGUUCCUCCCCUCGCCCAGCACCCGCGGGAGCCAGCCUUCCCGCCGGCCGCAGCACGGGAGCGUGUGCGGCUCCACUGCCCUCUCCUGGGAGCAGGCGCUCGGGAUCCGGAGAGGACUCGGCCUGCAGAGCAGAAAGCUGCGUGCCGGGCUGGGUGCUCCCGGUGUUUCACUGCACGGCAUCUCUCCGAAGCUUUGCACUGCAGAUGUGCGGAGACACCUGUAGAGACACAAAUGCAGAGCCUUGGCGGGUCUCAGAUCCCAGGCCAGGGCAGCACGGUUGCCUGAUGGCUGCAAUCCCACAGACUGCGAUGAUGCCCCUCUCCCCAGAGCAUUAAGGUUAGACACCUCAUAAGGCAGAGAGGCACUGGGAGCAAGCCGUGAAGGAGGCAUCCCAGCCAAAAAGCCCUCCAGCACCCUCUCGCAUGGGGCUGGGAGCCUCGGGCAGCCUGGCCAGGUGCUCCCGCUCACUGCUGCCCACAGGGUCUCUCGCUGCCCAGGAGCCCAGCACCAACCUGGCCCCGUGGCCAGCCACACCACCAGAUCCAGCCCAGAAGUGUCCCAGAUGGCCUGCAAACUGCUCCGUGAUCAAAGUCAGUGGCUCCUCUACACGUGUGUAAGCUGACUGGGUAAAAUAGCAGCUCUGCGUGAUGCUUGCUGGAAAAGAAAAAAAAAAUGCAUCUCACAACAGGGAGAGUAACUCAGAUAUAACUCAUACACACACCACCCAUGUGACAAGACUCUCAAAAUAAUGACUUUGUUUCUGAAUAGUGAUAGUCUGACUGCUCAGCUUUACUUUGCAGCCCUUUCUUCUAAAAGCAGCUUCUCUUAACCUUUUAUUUCCUGCUCUAAUGCAUCUCCUGCACUUUGUGUAAAUAACUUUGUCCAAAAGCUGCACUGGUCCUCUAGCCCAGAGUGAGACUGGUUGAGCACAUCCUUUAACAAUGCAAAUGGCCUUCUUCUUUGAAGGACUGAAAUAAAAGCAUAGCAUGUGUCACACUUUCAGUAAUGUUGGUUCUAUUACCUAGUGCCUGAGUACUUAUAAAGCUUGUCCAGAAGGCUUUCCAGAUGUGCUCAGUUCAGAGGAAACACCACCUUCAGGACUGGGUAAGGCUUUUAAUCCUCAGCUGGAGAGUAAGGUCACAUAUUGCACCUCUUCAGCAGACCAGGAAAGAACGCAGAACCCUAGCACCAUUUUCCAACCAGUCUUCUGAGAUGAGAAGCAGAAAAGCUCCAGGGGGUAUUUCUCAGAAGCUUCCCACCCCUCCAGGGAAGUUGGAGCCAUUUGUGGGAUUUCUGGAUUGCCAAGGACUCAUCUGUGUUUGCCCUGUCUGUGUGCUGUUUUUCACAACCUGUCUCCAUUUAUGUCUCAUUUCUCCAUACCUUGGUCUUAAACCAGUCUGCCCUGAGCCUUGAAACCCCUCAGCUCUUUGCUCUGGGUAAGUCAGUCUGAGGGUGGUUCUGACUUAUCCCUAUUUCUUAUCGUCAUUUGUUUUCUGCUCCUAAGGGCAUGACUAGAUGCUCAAGUCUCACCAGAAGACCAUCCUGACUGCGAACUCCUGAGAAGGGCGCUGAGGUUCAGUACCAGCAAUUUUACCCACUGGAUGGUUUUCCGUCUGAAAUUGCCAACAAAGUUUAUUGGAGCAGACAAUUUUUAAAAAAUCCCACGAGAGAUUAAAAUAAGCAACAUGUUUUGCUUUAAAAUUUCUAGGACCAGAUCUUCAAGCAGUGUAAAUUAGCAUAAGUUUUCUGAUGCUCUAACCCUUGCAAUCUGAGUGCAAGUCAAAAUUGGGCAUGAUUUUAUUUAAGGUUUGGUUACUUUUCAAGGCUAAAACUCAAACUGCUCCUGAGGGUGGGCAUGGUGCUUUUUUAUUCUGUACUUGGGCUGCUUCCACCUCUUUUGCAGGAGUUUAUUUCUAGCUUUGAUUUAUUUUCUCUGCUAAGAUGUAUUCUCCUUAUUCUUUCACCUCCCCUCUCAUUCAUCUGUCUCUCUUUACUCUCUAUUGUCCAACCUUUUCAGCUCUUUUCUCUCUUCCCCCUCCUGUCUUUCCUCUUCCUUGGUAGUUCCUUUUCCUUCCCCCUUAUCUCAGCAAUCGCUGCCAACAGCUAUAUUUGGAAUAGAGUGGGAACAAGCUAUUCUUGUGACUUUACUUUGAAAUAACUGAGAGGAGCAGAUGAUUUGCUUUGAACAAAUAGAGGAUACAUCGAGGAGAAGGCAGGCUAGUAAUGUCAAAAUGACAUUGUUAGGGAAUACCUGCCCAGCAGGUUUGUCUUUCCAGACUCUCAGGAUAACUUAACUAGCUAUGAGUUUCUGUUUGCUCUGUUUUAGCUUUAAAUCCUCUUUCCAGGUUAGUAGCAUGAGGUCCUAACAAGGCCUAGCUCAUCUUCACAGUGUCUGGGCACUCGUACAUCAAGGGGAAUGACUGCCACCUAAAAUCUCAGAUGCUGGAAUUAGCUGAAACAGGAUAUAUAUUUGUUUAGCACUUGAACUCAGUGCAGUUGUAUCUUCUGGUGUAGUCACAAGACACUGUUAUAGAGUCCCACUUGAAUGGGCUUGGACAGAAAUAUGCUGGGAGGAACAACUUCCUAUCGAGCAACAUGAUUUCUCCAUGUCCUCUCACAUUAACUCCUCAUCACCACCUGUUCCUCAUCACCAUGGCCAUUUAAACUGCUGCAAGCAAUGCAUUAGCAUAGCCAGUGAGAACCAGAGCUACACAAACGGGACAAAACAGAAUGUAUUUCCCCCUGUCCUCUGUAUUUCUUUAUUUAUAUGAUUAACUCCCACAUUGGCAAACCAAACAAGAAAUGAGGCCAAAUGAGAAAUUCAGCAUUAGAGCUUUGCAUUUUGUGCCUGUGCCAAAAGACGACCCAAGUCUAUUUGUCUGCUCUCAAAUGAAGCAGGUUCUAUUAAAACCAUACUGCUGUACACGUGGUUGUGUGUGAAACUGCUUCAUACAAAGAAAGAUGCGUGAAAUUAUAUGCAGAAAGAUGUAGGGAAAAGAUCUUUAGUUGCAAGUUAAAAAAAAAAUCAAAGGCGGGAAGGCUGCUAAAGCUAAAAGGAAAUGAUUCUUCCAUCCAUUAAGGACUUCCCAGGACUUUAUAAACCAGUUAACACAAAACAUAAUGUGGGGCUAAUGUGGGGCUUUCCCAGUUGUCUCUGCAAUAAUUGUUAAUACAUUCAUUUUGCCCACAGAAUAUGCAUCAAUACCAAUGCCUUAGGAGGGCACGCUUGGCUGAGUUGUAAUGUUUUUCUACCAGAUCAUCUAAUAUAAAAACAUCUCCAUCUUUGAGCAAACAGGCCCUUUGCCAGCUCCACACACACUACUACCACCACACUACAAAUCUUGUAUGUGCCAUACCAAGUGGAGGUAAAGCAAGGAGAAGAAGGAAGGAUCCACGAUAAGAAGUGACAUUUACUUUCAGCACUUCUCUAAUUCCCAGAGACUGCCAAGCGUCUCUUUGGGCUUCUCUCCCUUAAAACUGAGCACAGAAAAAUUUGGUGUAUGCUGCAGACAUAAGAAUAUAUCAACAUCUCAUACUCAAUUAAAUGAAAGUGCAAUGGCUAAGUGUUAUUUCAUCAGUAUCAGAUGAGUUUUUGCAAUUUUGUGCUGCCAUGGAAAGUGAAUAUAUUUGAUCUGUGUUCGCAACCCCAGGUUUACAGACACAAGUGAACUUGCAGGUAUUUAGAGAACACUGCUAAGUCCAAGGUGAACUCAGAGAGGAUUUAGCCUUCUCCUGUUACCUUCUCAUGGGCUGUCCCAUCGUCACCAUACUGAAAGCUUGCAGCUUUCCUCUCUGCCUCUUCGACUCCACAUGCUGAGUAAGACAACUUGAAAGAGCCUCUGGUAAAUACUACUGACUUUUAGGGCUCCCAGUGCACUGCAUGGGCUGCAGACCUGGCCAGCCUACUGAAGAAGGAGCUAGCCCACAGCUACACAGACCUCACUGGACCAGGCACCAGAAACUUUUUCUAGCACUCUCAGCAGUGUCAAAGCACCUUUGCUUUUUAUUACUGAGCAGAUGCAGAUGGGACUAAGGACUGUCAGCACCUAAGCCAUGACUGAACUCCACUGAGAUCUGCAACGUAGGCUUUCUCCAACAGCCUUGGUCUGGACCAGCUGAGAAGAUAAACGUUUUCUGAACCUUUCUACCACCACUCAGAACAGAUGGAUUUUUUCAACCUGUAGUUAGUUACCCUUGCCCACAGUGUGUGACAUUGUGGAUUCAGCCCCCUUUUCUGCCUGAAUGCAUCUGAGCCCAUUUCUUCCAUCUCACAGGAUGACAGUGGCCAACUUCUGGGAGCAGGACUGGCUCCACAGGGAAGAUAAGGGCACCUACCCGGAGAAGAGCCAAGGUCCAGUAGGAAUAUGCAGCUGGUGUCCUGAUUUUCACACUCUAGUUCUGAGCAGGUCGUGGGAAGCUGACAGGCUGUGCAUUUGGAGAGAACAGUUACAACCACCAGCAGCAAAGACUUCACAGGCAUCCUAGAAGGGACAAUCACUGUUGCCAUAACCCUUGAAGAACCUGGGAAGAAAAGGUGUGAAGAAAGAGCAGCAAUGAACAGGUGCUGAUUUUUACUUUUAUCUACCAGAAACAUCAAAGAAAAGGAAGUAUUCCCCCUGUCAUGUACAAUGGAUCUUCCUUACAGCUAAGCUGAAUAAUCAUCUUAUUAAGAAACCCAUCCCACAACUCAGGGCAGUGUUUGUGUUAGUGCACCACUAAAACCACCAGGACUGCAGCCCUGGAGGAGCUGACCAGGGCUGCUCUGGACUUUGCAGGCUUUCUGGAAGCACACCUAUUGUAACACGAUUUAAAGUUGAGAACAUGUCUAAAAAACACACACAAUGUCAGAGAAGGAAUGAAAUGGUGCUUCUCUCCCCACACCCCUCCAACCUCAUUACAGGCUAAGGAAAAAUAAUGUAUGGAGAAUAAUACUUCACCAUCUAAAGAGUUUUUCUGGUUUCUAAAUCUAGUGAAGAGUCAUUGUAUAUUUUGACAGAAAAAUGAAUCAAAAUAAUAAAGUGAAUACAAAAUUA